AGAGGGAUAGCUGGGUCAAGUGGUGGUUCCAUUCCAAGUUUUCCAAGGAAUAUCCAUAUUGCUUUUCAUAUUGGCUGCAUCAAUUUGCAGUCCCACCAGCAAU
rnacentral:pre_miRNA from 1 species